CACACACACACAUUCGCACAGGAAGCGUCUGAUUAAUCAGCCUCGGGACGUCAGGCGGAGUUCCAUCUCAGCAGAGGAUGUAAUUGGAUCUUGGGGAAAAUCCGCCUUUUUUUGGAGUAUGUACUGGCCUGCGGCGGGAAGGAGCCAGAGAAUGAUCCGGAAAGUGUGUGUGUGUGUGUGUGUAUGCCAUAGCAGGAACAGGAAUAGACUUUCACACAUCCAGACAGACACACUCCUGUGCUCUUUGAUCAGAUUGUAUUUGCCAGAGUCUGGUCAGUGGCACGCUUAGCAGCGAGCGUGACAAAUAUUAAUCUCCCGUUCCCGGCCGGCUCCGGCUCCCAUCGCACCACUGAAUAAUUCAACAGCACCGAUACCACGAUGGCGACAGGACGACGGGGCAGGAAAGAUUUGCCCCAGGUUUCCUGUUGAAGUCAGAUUUGGAGCAGAAUUUAGCAUCCACCCCAUGGAAAAAUCUUCAGCCCUUUCCUCAUGCAUACCUGAGUGAAAACACCUUAUCUACGACCCCCAGGCAGCCCUGGAUCGGUGCUGUACUCGGCCGGGGACAUGGUGGUGUCCUCCCUACAUCAGCCCCCCCAACCCUCCACCACGGGAUGACGAUUUGUUUGCUGGAUUUGUGGAGAUGGGAGACGAGCUGACGGUCUCGGUCAAAUGCAGUGCACAGGAAAUUGAGUGUUUAUAGGUUGUGUGUUCGCACUGCGCCAGCUGUGUUUGCUUCUUGGACGUUAACCGAUUGUAAAGGGUGUGUGUGCUGCUUCGACCUGUCUAAUGACCGCCGUGUUUUAGUGUCGGAGUCAGAGGGAGUUCAGUCAGGAACCGAGAUCUGAAGAUGUGUUUUUCUUCGAACAUUUAUUUAAAAAAAUAGAAGGAGCAGCCCUCAGCAUCGUUAUUUGUCAUCGUUGCUAUAGUAACAACUCAUUUAUGGAAACUAUUACAGUAGACACACAACCUCUGAUAUGGUGAAUGGUGAAAGUUACUCCUUUUAUGGAAGGAGUCUCCAGUGCAAGUGCUUUGAGGUUUGGUUUUAUUCGAUUCUAAAGAAAAAGAAAAAAGAGAAACACAUCUUGGGAACGUUCCUGACCAUUAAAUGUAUCCAUAAACGGAUAAA